rnacentral:lncRNA from 1 species
AAGGGAGAGAGAGGAAGAUAGGAGGAAGAUGCAAGACGAUCUAGAAAAUCAUAAGAUGAAACUAAGAGAAGACAUGAAACAAGAACUUCAUAAUAUGCUACUGCAGCAAAAAGAAGGAACUACGAAUAUGGUAAUAUUUGAGAAUAAUUUUUCAUCCUUGGUCGUCUUAAUAAAUUUAAGAUUAUGAUGAUGGCUAAUAUUUUACCUCAAUUUUUGUGUGCAUAGAGUAUCCCACAAAACAAUGACAAUAUACAAAUUACACCAACGACAAAAGAGGACGAUGAGAAUGGUGAGCAUGAAAAUGGAAAUGUGUUACAACAGGUAAUACUAUUAUUCCACUAUGUUUCAACUGAUAUUGAGCUAUGUACCUUGAACUUUUGGUAAAAUAGAUUAAACAAUUUACUGUUUUGUAGACUCAGCCUGGAAGUGUUGUCACCUUACAAGGAGAUGCACCUACUCGUACUAGUAAAAAUAUUACUAAUCUUAGCAAAAAUCUUUUCCAAGAAAGCACUGCAAAUGUGGCAGCAAAUAAGACAUAUAUCAGUCAACAACAGCUAUUGAAUAGAACAAGAAAUGGCAAA